rnacentral:rRNA from 1 species
GACGAACGCUGGCGGCGUGCUUAACACAUGCAAGUCGAACGGAAAGGCCCUGCUUUUGUGGGGUGCUCGAGUGGCGAACGGGUGAGUAACACGUGAGUAACCUGCCCUUGACUUUGGGAUAACUUCAGGAAACUGGGGCUAAUACCGGAUAGGAGCUCCUGCUGCAUGGUGGGGGUUGGAAAGUUUCGGCGGUUGGGGAUGGACUCGCGGCUUAUCAGCUUGUUGGUGGGGUAGUGGCUUACCAAGGCUUUGACGGGUAGCCGACCUGAGAGGGUGACCGGCCACAUUGGGACUGAGAUACGGCCCAGACUCCUACGGGAGGCAGCAGUGGGGAAUAUUGCACAAUGGGCGGAAGCCUGAUGCAGCAACGCCGCGUGCGGGAUGACGGCCUUCGGGUCGUAAACCGCUUUCGCCUGUGACGAAGCGUGAGUGACGGUAAUGGGUAAAGAAGCACCGGCUAACUACGUG